rnacentral:rRNA from 1 species
CAGGCUUAACACAUGCAAGUCGAGGGGCAGCAUGGUCUUAGCUUGCUAAGGCCGAUGGCGACCGGCGCACGGGUGAGUAACACGUAUCCAACCUGCCGUCUACUCUUGGACAGCCUUCUGAAAGGAAGAUUAAUACAAGAUGGCAUCAUGAGUCCGCAUGUUCACAUGAUUAAAGGUAUUCCGGUAGACGAUGGGGAUGCGUUCCAUUAGAUAGUAGGCGGGGUAACGGCCCACCUAGUCUUCGAUGGAUAGGGGUUCUGAGAGGAAGGUCCCCCACAUUGGAACUGAGACACGGUCCAAACUCCUACGGGAGGCAGCAGUGAGGAAUAUUGGUCAAUGGGCGAGAGCCUGAACCAGCCAAGUAGCGUGAAGGAUGACUGCCCUAUGGGUUGUAAACUUCUUUUAUAAAGGAAUAAAGUCGGGUAUGCAUACCCGUUUGCAUGUACUUUAUGAAUAAGGAUCGGCUAACUCCGUGCCAGCAGCCGCGGUAAUACGGAGGAUCCGAGCGUUAUCCGGAUUUAUUGGGUUUAAAGGGAGCGUAGAUGGAUGUUUAAGUCAGUUGUGAAAGUUUGCGGCUCAACCGUAAAAUUGCAGUUGAUACUGGAUAUCUUGAGUGCAGUUGAGGCAGGCGGAAUUCGUGGUGUAGCGGUGAAAUGCUUAGAUAUCACGAAGAACUCCGAUUGCGAAGGCAGCCUGCUAAGCUGCAACUGACAUUGAGGCUCGAAAGUGUGGGUAUCAAACAGGAUUAGAUACCCUGGUAGUCCACACGGUAAACGAUGAAUACUCGCUGUUUGCGAUAUACGGCAAGCGGCCAAGCGAAAGCGUUAAGUAUUCCACCUGGGGAGUACGCCGGCAACGGUGAAACUCAAAGGAAUUGACGGGGGCCCGCACAAGCGGAGGAACAUGUGGUUUAAUUCGAUGAUGCGCGAGGAACCUUACCCGGGCUUAAAUUGCAGAUGAAUUACAGUGAAAGCCGUAAGCCGCAAGGCAUCUGUGAAGGUGCUGCAUGGUUGUCGUCAGCUCGUGCCGUGAGGUGUCGGCUUAAGUGCCAUAACGAGCGCAACCCUUGUUGUCAGUUACUAACAGGUUCCGCUGAGGACUCUGACAAGACUGCCAUCGUAAGAUGUGAGGAAGGUGGGGAUGACGUCAAAUCAGCACGGCCCUUACGUCCGGGGCUACACACGUGUUACAAUGGGGGGUACAGAGGGCCGCUACCACGCGAGUGGAUGCCAAUCCCCAAAACCUCUCUCAGUUCGGACUGGAGUCUGCAACCCGACUCCACGAAGCUGGAUUCGCUAGUAAUCGCGCAUCAGCCACGGCGCGGUGAAUACGUUCCCGGGCCUUGUACACACCGCCCGUCAAGCCAUGGGAGCCGGGGGUACCUGAAGUGCGUAACCGCGAGGAGCGCCCUAGGGUAAAACUGGUGACUGGGGCUAAGUCGUA